rnacentral:lncRNA from 1 species
UGGUAUCAGAGCAUGGAAAUGCAUGACUGAUAUAUUUUUCCCUUGAAAUCUUCUUAUCUGCAUCCUUCUCUGUUUAUAUCUCUUUUUUCCAGUUUACUUCAACAGCAAGAUCCUGCAUUCUAUCUGUCAAAGAUCUUGCAUUCUAUCUGUCAAAUCUGUUCUGCUAUACAGAUAUCACCUAUUCCAACCAGUUCUUGAAAUAUCCC